CAAAAACACAAAACAGGAAAAAAGUUUUGCAUAAACAGCAUGCUUUUUAAACUCGUGCGCUAAGGCCAGACCUUUAUGAUACUCUAAAUACAUCCAUUAUUUAAAACUGUUCCAGUAGAAAUGUUUUCCCAAGCAGAGAACUGCGAAUUCAGAUAAGUUUAUCUUUUCCUCUCUGUGUUGUUCUUCCUCAACUUUGCGACCCGUGGAAAAGCUAUUUUUGUGAGUGUUAGUUUUGCCUAAUAAGAUUUAGCAGCAGUGAAAAACAGAAUAAUUUUGAGUAGAAGCGCCGUAUUAUUGUUUUGCGGGACCCAGAAUGGCUGUCCCCAAAGGAGGAUGAGGCGGGAAAUAAGUUUAAUCUCCAGACUUCCAGCUGCCAAAUUGCAACACAAUUGCAUCCGAAUAUGAACAUACAAUAUAUUUUGUCAGUUGUUUUAUGAGACGUAAUCUCUCCGGGGAACCUGCAUGAAAGAGCCACUUAUGAGUGAGACGAGCUCCUAAGCCCAUGCAAAACACUGCCUUUACUGUCUUUUGUGGCUAAAACAAUAUUCCGGAUAUUUAGCUAUUUAUAAUCUUUAGCUAUUUAUAGAUUCAAAAUUAUUUAAAUAUUUAAGAACCUUUACGUGACUUGCAUAACUUGCAUUCUGAUGCCUACAAUUUUUUUUUUUUUGCAUAUUCAGUUGUAAUUGCUCUUUAUUUGCUUGCAUUUAUUUAACCAUUUACAGCAGGAUUUAUUAUUGCGCAUUCAAAUAAUUUUUUACCAUUUCUUUUAUAUAUAACCACAUCUAAAAGUUCCUUUUUUUUAGCCUUUCUUUACAAAAUGUCAGUCUAGCGUUUUGUUAUAUUUAAAUGUGCCAAUGCUGCUCAUUCUUGUUGUUUUUGGGUUGUUUUUUUUUUUCUUCACAGCUUUAUGAUUUCUCUCCCUUGGCUUCGGUACAAGACAGCGAACAUAUGAAUGGCUCCAAAGUGUUUAGAAAAACACCACACUUGGGAUGAGCGAGCUGUCAGAAAUGCCAUAGCCGUCAAUCAUUUUGUCUCUCUGAAUACCGUCGAGACGGAAGCGUUACUGGUGCUUCAUCUGGUUAAUUACGAGCAGAGCACUCGGGAUUCAACGCCAUAUGAACACGCACAUGACUCUUUCACAGGGGCAACAGGUUUGCUGUUUGGGUCCAAAAAGGUUUGCACCAUCUCAUCUUCGUUUCUUAAACGGUGAAUAAAGAUCUGCAGAGCUGUAGGUUCUACACCAGAAAGAGCGGCAUAAGAUCUGUGCAGACGAAGAAACAAACUCGUUUACAGACGGCCUGAGGAAACCCGAGGAGGAUGGACAUUCAAGAGGUAGAUGGAGAAAGCCUUUGAUCCCUAUUCCCUCGCCCGCAUCCCUAGAUCAAGAAUCUAGAGGAAAUCUCAAGAAGAUUCAUCCCAAGGAAUUCUCAGAUGCUGCCUGCCUUUCUCUGUGCAGGGAGGUUUCUGGGCGAUUUUUUUUUAUUGAGGAACUCCUUCAUUUAAGUCCAACCUCACAAAGACCUGCCGUUACCCACAAACCACCUAAUCUCCAUGCACUUUGUGUUUUUCUACUUUAAAUUCUUCAACAUUUCAGCUAAUCAGUCCAGACGCUUAUCCAAAGAUCUUCUCUGGAGCCUGAUAUUCUUACACACACGCAACUAGAUUUUACAUUCAGUGAGUAUAAGAUAAAUAUGAUGAAAUAAAUGAUAAUAUCUAAAGAGAGAGUUCAGUUUGAAA